CCUACGGGGGGCAGCAGUGGGGAAUAUUGGACAAUGGGGGGAACCCUGAUCCAGCCAUGCCGCGUGUGUGAAGAAGGCCCUCGGGUUGUAAAGCACUUUCAGUGAGGAAGAACGCCUGGUGGUUAAUACCCAUCAGGAAAGACAUCACUCACAGAAGAAGCACCGGCUAACUCCGUGCCAGCAGCCGCGGUAAUACGGAGGGUGCGAGCGUUAAUCGGAAUUACUGGGCGUAAAGCGCGCGUAGGUGGCUUGAUAAGCCGGUUGUGAAAGCCCCGGGCUCAACCUGGGAACGGCAUCCGGAACUGUCAAGCUAGAGGGCAGGAGAGGAAGGUAGAAUUCCCGGUGUAGCGGUGAAAUGCGUAGAGAUCGGGAGGAAUACCAGUGGCGAAGGCGGCCUUCUGGACUGACACUGACACUGAGGUGCGAAAGCGUGGGUAGCAAACAGGAUUAGAUACCCCGGUAGUC
rnacentral:rRNA from 1 species